CGAGUACGACCUCCGCAGGCUGAAACCUGAAACUCUCGAGCUGAAAGAAAACGCAGCUGAGGAGAUAUGAGGAAACUUCCACCUACAGUAAGCAGAUGCUGAGGCCCAGAUUUCCAUGCUAAGCACUCCAAGGCUCAUCAUGCUCGGAGAGUCCAAUCUGAGGGCAAAAAAUGGAUGCUUUCCAUCGAGUGCUGAGUUCUCCUCCAAUUGAGUGACGGUUGUGAUUUCACUUCUGCUCUAGCCUUUUUGCGUCAUACUAUGUAUGAGGCAGCCACUACAUUGGGAUUUAUCCAGAGGGUGGAGUCCAGCCCAGGAAGUCAACUAGUUCAUGUCCAGAUUUAAAAGAAUAAUAUUUCUGAAAAAAAGGUCUUGGAGAAAAACAAUAUUCAGGUUUGAAAUCCUGCUGUAAAUGUAAAUCAUUUAACUUUUAUGCAUUUGUAAUUUACCAGAAACUUUUUAAUAAAUAUUGAUUGUUUUGUGUGUUCAGAAAAAAAGUGUUUUUGUAUGUUCAGAAAAGUGUUGAAAUUAAAUGAAACAUUCACAGAAAAAUGUUAACAUAUUUAAAAAAAAAUGUA